GGGGCUGUAGCUCAGUGGUAGAGCACCUGCCUUGCAGGCAUAAGGCACUGGGUUCGAUCCUCAGCACCA
rnacentral:tRNA from 1 species